AGGGUUUGAUCAUGGCUCAGAACGAACGCUGGCGGCAGGCCUAACACAUGCAAGUCGAGCGCACCUUCGGGUGAGCGGCGGACGGGUUAGUAACGCGUGGGAAUAUGCCCUUCUCUACGGAAUAGCCUCGGGAAACUGAGAGUAAUACCGUAUACGCCCUUCGGGGGAAAGAUUUAUCGGAGAAGGAUUAGCCCGCGUUGGAUUAGGUAGUUGGUGAGGUAACGGCUCACCAAGCCGACGAUCCAUAGCUGGUUUGAGAGGAUGAUCAGCAACACUGGGACUGAGACACGGCCCAGACUCCUACGGGAGGCAGCAGUGGGGAAUCUUAGACAAUGGGGGAAACCCUGAUCUAGCCAUGCCGCGUGAGUGACGAAGGCCCUAGGGUCGUAAAGCUCUUUCAACUGUGAAGAUAAUGACGGUAGCAGUAGAAGAAACCCCGGCUAACUCCGUGCCAGCAGCCGCGGUAAUACGGAGGGGGUUAGCGUUGUUCGGAAUUACUGGGCGUAAAGCGUACGUAGGCGGAUUAGUAAGUUAGAGGUGAAAUCCCAGGGCUCAACCCUGGAACUGCCUUUAAUACUGCUAGUCUUGAGUUCGAGAGAGGUGAGUGGAAUUCCGAGUGUAGAGGUGAAAUUCGUAGAUAUUCGGAGGAACACCAGUGGCGAAGGCGGCUCACUGGCUCGAUACUGACGCUGAGGUACGAAAGUGCGGGGAGCAAACAGGAUUAGAUACCCUGGUAGUCCACACCGUAAACGAUGAAU
rnacentral:rRNA from 1 species